GAUUUUGUAGCUCAGUUGGAUAGAGCGUCUGCCUACGAAGCAGAGGGUCGAAGGUUCAAAUCCUUCCAAAAUCA
rnacentral:tRNA from 1 species